GGGGGUUGCCUACUUGACUGAUGGCCACAGAAUUAUGGAGCUGAGGCAUAGUGUCAGGAGCCUGAUAUCUUAGGGGGCAUGGCAAAAGGCCUUCUGUCCCUUGCAGGAACACCUGCUGGAUCUCCAGUGUUUAAAGCUAGCUCGACCAGAAAACUGACUGCCUUUCACACUUCCACAGGCUUGAACUACAAGAAGAUAUUUAGAACAACCAAGAGAUAGUGUCUUCUGCUGAACUUUGACAUAGGCUGUGUGGCCAAUGAGCUCUUCAGAUCCACCUGUCUUCUCACACCUCAGCACAGGGAUGACAUGCAUUCUAUUGUGCUCAGCUUUUUACUUGUGAGCCAUGGAUCCAGACCCAGGUCAGUAGAGGGGCUUGCAUCCAAUAUGGAAAUGAGUGGGACAGCCAUGGACUGGAGAGCGAGAGCGUGCUGGUCUACGACUGGUCACAGAAGCAAUGGCAGAGUGUAAGUGUUCAGAUACAGUGACCUUCCUUUUAGCUACCUGGGAGUCUUCUUCUCCUGUUCGCUUCCAGAACAAGAUCUAGGACUCUCGGCUCCUCCAGCACCAUGCCUGCCUGGACACUGCCAUGCUUCCCACCAUGAUGAUAAUAGACUGAACCUCUGAACCUGUAAACCAACACCAAUUAAAAGUUGUCUUUCUAAGA